rnacentral:sRNA from 1 species
GUCCUCUUCGGCGCACUUGUCUUUGUUUCCUCGGGCGGCUUGUCCGACGGAACCUCCAUCAAAACCUUUUUGUAGUGCCUGUAUUAGUCUGAUACCAACAAAAAAAUCUUAACAACUUUCAACAAUGGAUCUCUUGGUUCUGGCAUCGAUGAAGAACGCAGCGAAAUGCGAUAAGUAGUGUGAAUUGCAGAAUUCAGUGAAUCAUCGAAUCUUUGAACGCACAUUGCGCCCUUUGGUUAUUCCUCAGGGCAUGCUUGUUCGAGCGUCAUUCUCACCCUCCAAGCCCCGCUUGGCCAUGGGCGCCUUGUCCCGCCACCGCGCGCGGACUCGCCCCAAACCUACCGGCGGCCGACCCCGUAAGCCUGAGCGCAGCAGAAACGCGCCUCUGGGCGGCAGGGCGCGGCAGGCCUUGUAAAAUGACCCCCCUCGAAGGACCUCGAAUCA